rnacentral:tRNA from 1 species
GGGGUUGUAGCUCAGUUGGGAGAGCGUCUGUUUUGCAAGCAGGAGGUCGGGAGUUCGAUCCUCCCUAAUUCCACCA